CCCGAGAGCCAGCGACAACCUAACCAAGCUUUAUUCAAUAAUGAUCCUUCCGUAGGUGAACCUGCGGAAGGAUCAUUA
rnacentral:rRNA from 1 species